AGAGGGCAGAAGAAAAUGGAAAACAAAGACAAACAAACCAAAGAAGGAGGAUGAAGUAGAAGCCAUUCAUUCUUUCCAUGAACAUUGACCCUAUAUCCUGAAGGCGGAUCGAAUGAAAAAAGAGAAGCAGCAAGAGUGGUUUCUGUUUCCCUGGCUGGACUCUGAGUAAUAUAGCAGCAAUCAUUUCCCAAGGGAAAGGAGGAAGACGGGUUGGCUCCAAUGAAGACACUUAUGAUGUGAAGAGUUCCCGUAACAGUUCACCAUCUCUGGGGCAGUUAUACAACAGGGAUCCCUGACUUCUUCAGAACUGAGAGUUCAAAUCAGGACUAUCUGGUGAUGAAUCUAUCCACUAGAAGCUGAUAUGAAGAGUCAGGUCACUAGAAAACAGAAUAUCAUGUGAUCGUGUUUGACUGCACAGCUGGUCUCUAUCAAUAUCUAUGCCUGAAGAGGAAGAAUGUUUGCCU